rnacentral:tRNA from 1 species
GCCGGAAUGGCGGAACGGCAUACGCUGGCGCCUCAAAAGCGUCUGCCCGAAAGGGCUUGUGGGUUCGAAUCCCACUUCCGGCA